GUUUAAAAAAAAAAUUCAAAUGGAGGCUAUUCAAAAUAUUGCAUUUUUUUUUGCUGGCGGGCCAUUGUAAGAUAUGCAUUUUAUUUCAAGUCUGAUUAGUCUGAAUUAUUAUUUUAAGGUCUAUCUAGAAAUUACAAAAAAUGGCGUGGUAAACAAAUUUUGAACAUUAUUUAAUUUAUUUUUUAUUCUUUUCGUGUCACUUUAUGAAAUCAUGACAAAUUUGUGGUCCUAGUCAUUUAAAAUAGUUUUUAAUUAUUAUAAUUACUUAAUUAGAAUUAGUUUUAUAAUUGAGAACUGCAUUUAAAUAUCACAUCACCAAAUGUUGAUAUGUACUCGUACCUACACUUAAAUGUAAAAAUGUUACUUACAUAAUUUUAAUAUUUGUGACGUUUUCAACCAAAUUGUCGCUUGUCGAUAAAGUUGAUUUCUAAUUGAAGCUAUAUGGAAAUAGCGCCUUACUGACAAGCGACAAUAAGUACCCUUUUGGUUGAAAAUGGCACAUUUGUUUAACAACAGCCUUAUUAUAACGGCAUAAGAAGUAUAUUUUUUACACUUAACUGUACUGUUAUGUGAUAAUGGGUCAUAUCAUAUCAAUAUCACGGAUAAACGCACAAUUUUUUGUGUUAUUGGUUUAGUUUUAAUUUUUAUAUCUUAAGAUUCUUCAGUGUACUACUUUUCUGCACCCUUACACUAUUCUAAACUGCAAUAGAUAUUAUUUUACGCAAUCUUGUAAUAUGUCGUUAGUCUCAAAUUAUUAUAACUAAAAGUAUUGGCAUAAGCUAUACGAAGAGUUGCCACCGCAUUCUUGAACGAGUAGAAACUUAAUUGGAUAUUAUUUUAAAGCUAGGGUAAUCGUCCACCAGAACUGAGCAAAGUAGCGGAAAUGUGCACGCAUAAAAAUCCAUCAAUAGUAAAAUAGAAACACGCGCAGCACACCAAUGGGAGGGCAUCCUUGCAACCUCGCAUAGCCCUGGUGAAUGCUCAAUCCUACAAUUCACAUUAACUAUAGUAAAAGUACUAAAUACUACAUAUUACCUACACUAUCAAACAGUCAGCAACAGGAACAGAAUUAGGUACAGUCGACGUCAAAUAUAUGUUUGAAUUUUUCGCCGUAUUACAAAGGAGUAAGGUGCAAAAGUGUAAACAUAUCUUUGACGUCCACUGUACACGGGCGAAGUCAAUAGUUAACAAAAACAUAUAAGACGCUGGUUUAACUUAUAAACUUAUAUUACGCGUGAUAACGAAUCUUAUGGGAAUGCACGAAGGUUCAUUUUAAUCUGUAACUUAUCUUAUCCAUGCGCGCCUGUUAAAAAAAUUGACCACUUCGUCGUCAUCGUCCAUAUAGUUUUUUUUUUCUUGCUGGAUGAACUCGUUUAGUUUUUUAUAGAUUCGACAAUAAUCUGUCCACUGCCUUGUCUCAUGUUUUGGCUGUCAUUGUUUUAAGAAAAGGAAAAGAGGACCCUUCUCGCGACAUGCGUUUGCAUUAUUUUGUAAGCGCAUGCCUCAAGUACCUUUUCUUUGAGAAAGACACAAAUAAGAAUAUAAACUUAAUAAACGUGUGCCUAUAAUAGAAUAUGUGUGUAGAUAGCUAAACAAGGGAAAAUAAAAUGUAUUGUAAAAUAAUUAAAUGAAUAAACUCAACGCGUCAAUAUAUAUGAGCUUUCUUGUAGUUCUAUGUUAGGCUAUAUACAUAUAUAGUAUUAUAAUGUGGCUGUCAUGAUAAAAGGGUCCUUUACGAUGUUUGAGUUUAUGCCAUUUAAAAUACUCUUAUGCCGCCACUGGCUUUUAUAUCUUUUCACUGCCUUUUGACUAGGUAUAUGCGGAAUACCUGGUGGAGGAACUGAAAGCGACGGUCACAUGACAAAAAUGUGUACAUUCGUGGGCUCAAAUUUUCAUAAAUUGUACAACUUUCAACUGUCGGAUUAUAAUUUUAAAGUUCCAUUUUAUCAUGACCAACGACUAAUAUUUACAUAUUUACAGAGUGGAAAACACAAUACAGAUUUGUCACAAUACAGUUUUGAAUUAGUAUACCUAGUAUUUUAUAAUCGAAUAACUUGUAUUGUAAAAUAUCAAUUUAUAUGUAUGAAAUAAUCAUGAUUAUAUAUAUUCUACACAGCUAAUUUAUGCUUAUUAAUCCAAUGUACGAGUACACUAUGAAAUGUAUCAUACAUACUUUAAAUUGUAUCUGUUUACAGGGAUAUACUUUUUCCAAAUAUUGUAUCUUACAAUUAUUUUUUAAAGAACUAAAUUAAUAUUUUAGCUAUUACCAGGUCUAAUAGUAAGACGUUAGUCUGUCAAACCACCUUCUAUACAAAGGCCUGUGCACAGCACACCAAAUGCGUGUUGUAAUAUAGGUACUAUAUAGGUACAAAUGCCUAGGGGUCAUCCAUUAAUUACGUCACACCAAUUUCUAGGUUUUUUGACCCCUCCCCCCUCCUUGCAACACGGUCACUUUAGGUAAACCCCUCCCCCGCUGGUUUGAUGUCAUAUUUUUAGAACGAAAUCGGCAAAUCGAAUUAAAUACUAUUAAUAUAGUUGGUCAAGCAAAUCCUGUCAGUAGAAAAAGUCGCGAAAUUUAAAUUUUCUAUGGGACGAGCCACAUUCGCGCCUACAUUUUUUUAAUUUGCCGCGUUUUUCUACUGACAAGAUUUGCUUGACCAACUAUAUUUUAUUAAAUGUUUUUUGACAAAAGAAAUAUUACCUAGUAAUUUUAUAACCCAAAACUGAUUAGGAAAGAAAAUUAAACAAAUAAUAACGAUUAUCGUUCCAACAACUUGUUAUUUAACUGUAAAGAGAAUAAAAUAGUUUUAAUAAGUUAGUGACGUCACAAAAUUUGUGACCCCCUCCCACCCCCUAAACGUGUGAUGUAAUUAAUGGAUGGCCCCCUAUGAGAGACGGCACUUGCGUGACGUGUGCACGCGCGGCUCCAAUAUUUAACAGCACGCGCACGCUGAACUGAACCGUAAACCGUAACAUACGGUUACAGUUUACGGUUCAAUUUGUACUGGUUAAUGGUUAAUUGCAUUAACGUUUCGGCCAACACUGCGCGCACGUGCACGUUUACGCACUCGCAGCCGGUGUGCUUUUGCCUUUACUUAGUUUUUAUUACGAUACCAGAGAAAACUAAAAAAGUAAUAUAUACAUUGCUUAUCGCAAUCAUUGAUUUAAAAAAACUGAUAUAAAUAGAUAAAGAAUGAUUUUUACAGUAUUAACUUCGGGGUAUUGUGCCUUCUGUAAAAUAAUAAUAGAUUUAAGGCAGGAUUUCUCAAUCGAUUUUUAUAAAUAACAAUAAAAAAAAUACUACACAACACAGAAUUGUUCUAAAACGUGUAUGUACUAGAUCUUCUUAUAGGAAUGGAAUGAAGGAAAAUUUAACUUUUUGUUUGUUUUCAGAUAGUAUUUGCGUUUUUAAAUGAAUUAAUAUUAGGGAAAUAGAGUAACUAUAGAUACAGUUUAAUUGUAUAGAUAGGGUAUAUACAUUUUGACAUCCACCAUCCCACCCAUCAAGAGGGUGGGAAUUGGAAAGUUAAUGACAUAAAAGCCAAUACCACGCUGGAAAACGUUCAAUUAUUUUGAAAGUCGAUUGAGGAAUACCAUCUAAAUGUUGUGCCUUUUAUUUUCAUUUCUACUAUGUAUUUUGUACCUGAGGCUACAAUAUUCUUAGAUCCAAUUUAGAACCCUUUAGAACGCUUUAUUGAAACUUAUGUACGAUUUACAACAAAUGACAGAGUCAAAGGAAUUCGAAACUUAUAGUACAAGAAUUAAAUUCCAUAUUUCAGUGGCCGCCACGACAAAUAAGACGUGCCCAGACUGUUUGAUGUGAAUCGUACAUACAACUCUUUUGUUAAACAUAGUAUAGAAGUAGGUAUGUAGCUAAAUGUUUGCCACCUAUAGGUAGGGCAGCGGAUACUUACGUACAUGCUCAAAAUAUGCACAAUUAAAGUUAAGCACUUUCGCACAUGGUGUAAUAAAAUUGUAACUAACAAAAUGUCGUGCGCUCGUGCGAAAUAGAUGAUGUGUCUUAGAGACCCUGUCGUUUUGUGUAUGUAAUAUUAAAGGUAGGUUUCCUAUGAUGCUGGGGCCAUACUGUUUCCCGUUAGUGUGGCCCCGGCAUGACAGGUUCAAAAACCAGAAUGAUGAAGGAAUUAUUAUGGUAUUUAUGGUUACGGAAAGAGACAUCUUAGUGCAAAAGGUUUGUGAGAUGCAAAAUGUAUUUAGUACUUACAUUUUAUGUGUCUAUUAAUACAUAAUACUGUAUUUCUUUACAUACUGUUGUAAAAAUCAAUGUUCACUAACGUUUCAAAUUACCUACAACCAUCAUGAAAUUGUAUUCUAAAAAAAACUUCAACUAAUUAUUGUCUGCGUAAAAUGAGUCCCUAUUUGUGAUAACUAAUAUAAAUAUAAUGUUACAUUGAAUGUUUACCAAGUAUUUUUAAGAUUUUACUUGUAAAAUUGCAUUUAAAAAUGUAAUAUCGUCCAAUUUGAAUAUUCUCUUCAAUUUUAAUAACAAAACUUUCGUGAGACACAGACAUAUUAAAUAUAUUAUAGUAAUAACGGGUCACCAAUUAAAUAUAUUAAUAGCGUUUUUCGACUUAAAAUACGUGAGUGACCCUUUAUGAAUAUAUUUAAUAUUCUCUUCAAUCCCGAAAAUUGUACCUGUUUGAAAAGUUGAGGCUGUGGCUGGUCUAAUGGAAUCUACUUGUUUUUGGUAGACAUGUCAUAUUUCAGGCUCGUGAAUAAAACACUAUUUAAACCUGGCUAUGUUGUUAUGGAAAAAACUUAGCCAAAGGACAAAGUCCCUAGUGCAUUUACUUGUGCAGGUAGGUUAAAAACACAUUUCUUUUGACAACUAUUUCUGUUAGUUUCUUAGGGGUCAUCCAUUAAUUACAUCACACGUUUAGGGGGCGGUCAAGAAAUUGUGACAUGUUGUGACAAGGGGAAGGGGGGAGUCACAGGGUUUGGGACGUCACUUUAACUUCACCUGUAACCGAAAACUGUUAUGUUUUAUUUUAAUUUGCUUUACAGAUAAAUAACUAGUUUUUGCAAUGAUAAAUCGUUUUUAUUCGUAAUUUGUUUUUACUAAUCUGUGUCGUGUCAUAAAAGUUGUAAUAUUAAAGCAAAGCAAUAUAAUAAAAAAAAACCAAUUGCCUAUUUCGGUGAAAACAAAACUGCGAAAUAUGUGACGUCACACCAUUGGCGAGGGGGGGUUGCCAAAUGGCGACCUGCUGUGACAAGGAGGGGGGGAGGGGUCAAAAAUCAUGAGAUUCGUGUGACGUAUUUUAUGGAUGACCCCUUAGGGCCACUUACGCAUUCUAGGGUUAGCCAACUAACCCAAACAUAUGUUAUGUCAGAAGAGGCCUUUUAUUUGCUAAGUUUUUUGAUUGUACUUACUGGCUCAGUAACCUGACAUGGAUUUUGUUUUGAUUUAAUAUGGUUAUCAUUACACAGCACGAUGCAAAUAUAUAGCAAUGUUCCACUGCACAAAUUGGUGUGCAGAUCAAAAUCCAACGUGAAGAUCUGAGGGCCUACUGGGAACACCAAGUUUGUGGAUUGCAGGCAUCUCUGUCACUCUAGUAAAGCCUUAAUGAGGGCUAACGCGUAUGAAUUCGCCGCUAGGGGCGCUAGUGUAGAUGGUGGUCUUUUCCAUAGUUCGAAAUGUCAAAUGUCACUUGUCACUUCAAUGACUGACAGCUGUUAUUUAGUCUUUUGUACCACCAUCAACAGAGGCGCCAACUGGUGAGCAAAAAAACGAUAGGCCUCAUUGGAGUAAAAGAAUUGGAAUUUGAGGCUUGCAUUUAUUUAUUACCUAUUGUAGAUAGUCCUGUGAUGUGAAUAUAAUUUUAAUUUACAUUCCGUUUUGUGAUAAAUCAUGGUUUGUAUAAAUAUAUGGAUUGAUAUAAU